UUGAAUUAGUGAUUUUUGUGAUUUAUUGAAUUUUGUGAUUUAAAAAGAAUUUAAUAGGUAAAUUGGGUCUAAAACGAGGUAUCGAGACCUCGAGUUCAUAAGCCGAACCAUAAAUAUUUUUAUAAAUAUUUAUGGAGUGUCAUUGAGUUAGUACAAAAGUUUCGUUAGAAAAUUUUAACGUUUGGAUAGUCAAUUAAUUAAAAAGGACUAAAUUGGAAAUAGUGCAAAAUUUGUUA
rnacentral:lncRNA from 1 species